GUUUUUAAUCACAUAUAUUGACAGUUUCAUGAUACAGAGGAGAGCGACUCAGAAAGUGUCUGUCCAGGGUGGGAGGGGUCACUCUCAGGGUCCUGGAGGUGUCCAGGUGUUGGAGAGAAGGGAGACUGCAGACGGUCUCCUUCUCAGCCAAAUGGAUGACACACUGCAGCAGAAAGACUUCACAGUCUCCACUCAUGUAGGAUGAUGGAGGCUGGUGGGGCUGGUUCCUCCUGCAGACGUUCCAACAGCUGCAGUUCCUCUAACGGCCACUUGAAGCUGACUCCAAAUGUGAGUUAAUAUUUACAGUUUUCAGGGUCUGUGUUCAAAUUUUAAACCUGAGGAACUGAAAUAAACGCAGGUGUGAAUCCAGAGAGUCUCAUGUGUGGUGUGUGAGUGUGGAGUAGGUCUGGUCCUGGUCCCUGGCGGCUGGAUGGAGGCUCUGGUAGGUCGAGUCUUCACGUGUAGAACCUGGAGUACAGUUCUCGUAGUGGGACGUCCUAAAACAGAGACACACUGUCUUCUUCACAUAACAAGAACAGACUCUGACUUGGUGAAAUCAUUUGUGCUGGUAAAUAUUUCCAUGUUGCCUCGUUGAACCUCUCAGACAACAGUGUCUCUGUUUGUUGUUGGAGUCUCCGUCUGGGCGGCCAUUUUUGUCACCUACCUGUUUGAAUUCACCUUCUUGGAUUGUAAUUUCUGGAACAGUCUACAAACUGAACCAUCACACUGUGACUGCUUUAUUUCUUUGUUACGGUAGCAGUCUGUCAGCAGUGAGAGGAAACAAAGAGAAAGAAAGUCACCUCCAUGUUUGUGCCCUCUGAGUUUCCUCUGGUCCUCAAACCUGUGGAACAAACAGGAUGUUCCUCUGUUAGAAGGACCAAUCAUUCAAAGUGCACCUGAGGAAGAAACACGAGAGAUCAUUCAGAAUUAUUCACUUUGGUUAUGAGCAGUCUGAUAUCUGGAUUUUUAUAUAUCUGUUUAUUUAUUGUUUCUCCCACUGUCUGCUCCUCUGCUCUGUGUUUCCAUUUUCCUCUCUGACUUUGCUCCGUUUAUAUUUUGUUCUUUUCUGCAAGUUUCCAGCAAUGAAGCUGAAGUGAUUUCACAUCCUGACUCCUGAAUAUUGGAGCCAGAACCUGCCUCAGUGCAGAAUCACAUGACAUGUACUUGAUAACACACAAGCCUGAAUCAGUCAGUUUUCACUCUGUCAGCUCAGUGGUAAAAAGCAUAGCCUGUAUAUUAAAGAUGGAAUUAUCUGCUGUAAUGUCAGCUGUUGCUUUGUGCACUCCUGUUAUAAAAGCCUCAGUUCAGCUUGUUGGCUGCAGCAGGAAAGUGUUUACUGAGGUCACAGUGAGCAGUCAGCUCAUAGAUACAAGCAGCCAUAACCAGAGUCGUCUGUGGUGAACGCCUGUGUUUAACUGAAUGAGCUGAAUGUCAGAUCCUGUUUGUCUUCCUGUUUUCUCUGUGAUGUUUCUUUGACCUUGAAGUUUCCCAGAUAUGUACUAAUCAUGUUGACCUCUUUCUUCUUCACCUCUCUGCUUUACUAAUUCCUGAGUCAAUAUCUUAUUUUAAACUCAUGAAAACUGUGCACGGUCUCUUCUUCUAUAGGAAAAGACGAAUACAUGAUGCAUUCUUAAAGGGAUUUUUCAUUUUUGUAUUUUUUGUGCUUUCUAACAUGUUUCUUAACAUCAUUGGACCAUAACAUAAUUCAUUUAUAUAGCACAGUAAAAACAACACAUGGUCGACCAAAGUGCUGUACAUCAGUGCAGCAGAUCUGCCUGAGAAAUAUUCUGCUAUUGUGUUUCUCUCUUUCCUUUCUCUCCCUCUGUCACCUGGGCAGAGUUCACUGUGGGCUCCCACCUUUGGCCUACAUACCUGGGAGACGAGUAACACCUGCGUCUCAUUAACUGGCCUCUACUUAAGUGAGACUGCUCUUCACUGGAUUGUUGCUUGACUUGUGUCAGUGAAAUCCUGUCUAGGACACUGCUAAUCUAGUUCCCUUGUGUACAGACCUGCCCUUGUUCCUUACGGAGAUUCUGGUGUGAGAGAGGAGUGAGAGAUUGGUGAGAUGCCAAGAGAGACAGAAGGGGAGUGAGAGUGUUCCCCUGCAGAUUCCCUGGAGCCCUGAUCCCUGAUCCCUGCACUCUUGUAUAGCACUUUGUCACUGUGGCACAUUUCACCUGGUGUUAGUGAAUAAAGCCUCUGUUCUUCCUUUGAGCAAAGGAGUCCUGCGUUUGAGUCCCUCCAGUUACCGUAACAAUAAGUAUCAAUAAAAUAACAGAGUCAGUUACGCACUGAGUCAAAAGCCUGUUAAUAGAAAUGAGUUUUUAACCUGGAUUUAAAGGCCAACACUGAAGCAGAUUGCAGUUCAAAGCUUCGGGGCCACGAUGGAGAACGCUCGGUCUCCUCUCAGCCGUUAUUUAGGGACUGAGAGCAACAGCUGAGCAACUGACCGGAGUGAUUGGGGAGAGAAGGAGCAGAUCUGACAAAUAUACAGGCGCCAGACCAGUUAAGGAUUUAAAAACCAGUAAAAGGAUUUUAAAUUAGAUCCUAAAUUCAACUGGAAGCCAGUGUAAGGACAUCAGAACCAGAGUAAUAUACUCAAAUGUUCUUUUACCAGUUAAAACUGUGCUGCAGCACGUAAAUGAAGGGCAGUCUGUUAAUAUUUUUUUGCACUUAAAUCAAUGAAUUAACAAAGCAGUGAAUCGUGUCCUUCCUCCUGAAUGCUCCACCUCUCACUAAACCAAUCAGAGUACUGAGCAGUAAGAACUGAAACAGAGACUCAGUCUGAUCCUCCUGAAAUCACCCACGCUGCAUGUGUGUUUGGUUACCUCAGGUUUUGAGCCUAACAUCUAUCCGUGUCCUCAAACCAAAGCGUGCAGACGAGUCACAAAGAAAAAGUCAGAGAAAAUAUUUUUGUUUCACUGCAGCUUUGACAAGUGACAUAAAAUUAUUAGAACAGCCAGUGAUGAGAGGACGAUGAUGAUGAUGAUGAUGAUGAUGACAGCCACAGUCAGACCCACAGGCAGCGAAACACCUGCAGCAGAUUCAGAAGACUAGUCGUGUACAGAGGAGGAUUUUUAAAAACCUGUGGACACAAUUGUACCUUCAGGUGUUUUCUCAGGCUGCUCCGUGGUUACACUCGAGGUGAGUGAAGGUGAGAAGGCUGAUUGGACGACUGCUGAAACAGGUCAGAGAGUGAAGUUUAGAUGUGGUUCUUAUUUAAAAGCAGAGAUCUGAGAAAAAGCAGCCCGCUCACACACUCAGAGUCACACAUCACUGUGUGUCACACGACUGCUGCAGUGUCACUGUGAGUAAGGAUGUUUGUAACAUCACAUCUUUGACAUCACAGUAGGCAGGUAUCAUUGUUCAGCAUGCUGGGUGUAUUUUAACUGACAUAAUAUUCUUUCUGAAUAUAGCCAAACAUUAAUAUGUGUCCAAACCAGUGCAUGAAACCAAGACACAAACACAAAAUCCCUCAGAGUGGACACAGACUGCUGUCUUCAAACGUUGUGACCUUUCCCACCACCUGAUGUUGUAGCACUUUAACAAAAGGACAGCUCAGUCCUCCUGCAGCCAGUUUGGAAAUGACCGAGUUAAAGAACACCUCUUUCUUAAAGGUGAGACACCAGCAGCGUCUGAUAGAUCAGCAGUAUCUGACAUCUGGGAUAAAAGUGUAAAGAAAGAUUCUGAAAUUCAGAUUUUAUAAUAGCAUCAAGUUUUGAUAGUGCUCCAGAAAAACUGUCAAAUUAGAUUUUAGUUGCAGAAAAAGUGCAAAUCAUUAUCUACAGUGUGGCUGUUAGAUAAUAUGUCUGGUUAUCUGAAACACCAGCAGCUAUCAAUGACUAAAUUAGCAACAUUAAAAACAUUUUCAGGGAAAACUCACCAUCUGUGACGUUGAUCUCAAAGAGUCUGAAUGAAGCUUGACCAGAAGAUGGAUUCAGAGAACAUCUGUACUGUCCUGAGUCAGACUCAGUCAGCUGUGUGAUUGUCACAUACACAAUUCCUCCUCCUCCAUAUGUCUCCUCUGAAGUUCCUCUAAAUCCAAUUCUGUAUCUGUCUUUGGAAG
ensembl:lncRNA